rnacentral:rRNA from 1 species
GAUGAACGCUAGCGGUGUGCCUAAUGCAUGCAAGUCGAACGGCAGCCUUGGAUUCGUUUGAGGUGAGAGUGGCGAACGGGUGAGUAACACGUUGGUGACCUACCCCAAAGAGAGGGACAACCAUUGGAAACGAUGGGUAAUACCUCGGAUGUAUUACUGUUUAGAAAGGUAAUACUAAAGCUCCGGCGCUUUGGGAGGGGCCUGCGGUCCAUCAGCUAGUUGGUAAGGUAAUGGCUUACCAAGGCAAAGACGGAUAGGGGGCGUGAGAGCGUGACCCCCCACACUGGUACUGAGACACGGACCAGAUACCUGCGGGUAGCAGCAGCAAGGAAUAUUGCGCAAUCGACGCAAGUCGGACGCAGCAACACCGCGUGAAGGAUGAAGGCCUUCGGGUCGUAAACUUCUUUUCUGGGGGAAGAGAAAGGACGG